AACCCACCCAAUGGUUACGCUGCGCAUCAGCAUUGUUCGGCCAAUUCGCUCCUCCCCCUCAAAAAAAAAGGCCAAUUCGCUCCACCCUGACCAAAACCCUACCCGCCGGGGGCCAGCUCCGUCGCGGCGUUGCGGGGAGGCAGAGGCGCGAGGCGAACAUCAACAGCGACUCCGCCGUCCUUCCCGCUCGACGAUGCGUGGGGGGCCACGGGUCUGUGUAUUGGCACGGGCCUUUCCUAAAUUAAGGAUAAGGUCCAAUAAAUCUGCUGCUGUAAUUUGGUGCUUUAAGAUUCUAGCACUUUCUACAACUUGGAAGCUAAUAUCUUCAAAAUUAAUCUACUUUGAAUAUUAGUGCCAGCUGAAUUUGAAUGCCAUUGUGACGGUCCACUUCAUGUAUGUCUUAAAAGUAUCUGCAAAGGGGGAAGAGAACAGAGAUAGACGAUAUGAAACUCUGCUUGCAUUUCUUUAUGCAGCCCAUACUGAUUCUAAUCUACUUCUCUGUCUUACAAUUUUUUUUAAGGAAACAACAGUGUGCUGCCUAUGCAUUAAGAAGGAAGAGUUUUACAGGAGAGCUGUAAAAUAAUUAUAAGAAGCUGAUACCCUUAAUCAGCUUGAAUCCAAUUUGAGCUUGAAGGAAGCUGAUACUUGGCCUGCCGAGAAUUUAGCCUCAAGAUGCCUGUGGCCGUGAGAAGGCCGCAACUGAGCUGAGUUGUGCAAGCACUACACUACACCAGAGGACUUUGUCAUUCACUGCUGUGUUGGCCAUUUCUACAGUGUUGAUGGAUAAUUUGAGGCCUGGAAAGGUGGCCACGAGAAGGCACCGGUUGCCUUCUGCGGAAUGGCUUGGACCUCCACCAACCAUCUGCCUGCAGAGUUGCAGAAAUAGUGUGGUCUGCGUGGAGCUGUGGAGACUGUUGUUGUGUUGCAGUAGGUUAAACUGUUAAAUAUUGAAGUGUUGCCAAGGUCUUGAUGGAUAAGUGUUCCGAAUAGUUUGUUGUAUGGAAUACAUUGGUAAUACAAUGGCUGGCUUGAAGCUGGUGAAACUGCUACUCAGGGAGGCGUUUGUGUUGGAGGCGAUGGGUAUCAUGCCUUCCAAGGAUGCUGUGUUGACUGUUCUAACCAUGAGAAAAGGUGAGAUGCAAAACUGUCCCGACACCGCCAUCUCCUUCAACAAGCUUGGCCUUUUUGAAGAUAUCGGGAAGCAAUUGAGGAACUACCUGGCUAAUACCGAGACCUCGAUACAUCUCCCAUACCUCCGCCGCGGGGAGGCCUGUCUCGAAGUCAUGGCAAAGGCUACCUUUCAUUGCUUCUAUGAGCUCUGGGUGGAAUGCCAAAGAUUGCACGG